GCUCACUUUGGCAGACAUAUACCAAAGUUGGAAUGAUACAGAGAUGAUUAGCAUGGCCCCUGCACAAGGAUGACAGGAAAAUUCAUGAAGUAUUCCAUAUUUUU